rnacentral:rRNA from 1 species
AACGGAGGGGGCAAGCGUUAUUCAUCCUUAUUAGGCGUAAAGGGUACGUAGGUGAUGAAAAGUGGUUUUUGAGAAAGGUCAGGUUAAUCUCUUGACGCAACGAUUACCAUUGAUAGAUUUGAGAUAUGACAUGAGGUUGGCGGAAUUACUAAUGUAGAGGUAAAAUAUUACGAGAUUAGUACGAAUACCAGUGGCGCAGGCGGCUUUCUUAAAUAUCUGACACUGAGGUACGAAAGCAUGGGGAUCAAACAGG